GUUUCGCGAUGGACAAGAGUUGGAUGAAUCUUAGAGAUAGGUUGUGUAAGGAAUAUGUAAAUGGUAUAAGGACAUUUAUUCAGGUUGCAAAAAAUCAUGUGAAUAAGGAUGGUAAGAGCCGAUGUCCAUGUCGAGACUGUCAGAAUGCAUUUUGGAAAUCAAUAAAUGAUAUUGAAAUCCACCUUUGUAGGUUUGGAAUAGCAACCACAUAUCAGAGAUGGAUUUUUCAUGGAGAAAAAGUUGAUAUCAAUUACUAUAAACCAGUAGACUUGAAUAGUGGUAUUGACAAGGUAGAUCAUCUUGAUGAUGAUGAUGAUGGUAACCACGAUGACAACAACGAUGAUCUUGUUGAUACAUCUCAAUCCCGAUAUGUGCCUAUGGGAAGCAUUCAAGAGGGGAGUAAAACAGGAGGGAGGCAGUCCUCUCACUGAAUUGGAAAUCACACGGAGUGUUCCGACAAAUAUAGUUGGCUAGUAUAAAAAACGCCACUACUGGUGACUCAUCUCUCCGCUGCAACAUUUUUAGACAUGAUGCAAAAUGUCAUGGUACAAUAGCCACUAAUGGCCCUUUGAAUUGUCAUUCUAUUUAUUUUGAGUAACUUACAUAGCAAAGAAGAACUUUGCUAGCUUGGCUAUGUGGUAACUAUUUACACAGCUGGUCUCCUUUCGGGUUUGAUGGAAGCACAUGAAGAAGUCUGCUUGGAAAUUAAAAGUCUUUCAUGAUA